rnacentral:rRNA from 1 species
CGGGUGCGUAACACGUGGGUAAUCUGCCCUUCGAUGGGGAAUAACUCGCCGAAAGGCGAGCUAAUUCCGCAUAACAUUCCGAGAACUUUGGUUUUUGGACUCAAAGGCGUGAGUCGUCGGAGGAGGAGCCCGCGCACGAUUAGCUAGUUGGUGAGGUAACGGCUCACCAAGGCAACGAUCAGUAUCCGGCCUGAGAGGGCGGACGGACACACUGGGACUGAGACACGGCCCAG